GAUGAACGCUGGCGGCGUGCCUAAUACAUGCAAGUCGAGCGAACAGAUGAGGAGCUUGCUCCUCUGACGUUAGCGGCGGACGGGUGAGUAACACGUGGAUAACCUACCUAUAAGACUGGGAUAACUACGGGAAACCGGAGCUAAUACCGGAUAAUAUAUUGAACCGCAUGGUUCAAUAGUGAAACACGGUUUUGCUGUCACUUAUAGAUGGAUCCGCGCCGCAUUAGCUAGUUGGUAAGGUAACGGCUUACCAAGGCAACGAUGCGUAGCCGACCUGAGAGGGUGAUCGGCCACACUGGAACUGAGACACGGUCCAGACUCCUACGGGAGGCAGCAGUAGGGAAUCUUCCGCAAUGGGCGAAAGCCUGACGGAGCAACGCCGCGUGAGUGAUGAAGGUCUUCGGAUCGUAAAACUCUGUUAUUAGGGAAGAACAAAUGUGUAAGUAACUAUGCACGUCUUGACGGUACCUAAUCAGAAAGCCACGGCUAACUACGUG
rnacentral:rRNA from 1 species